UUAAGUUCAGCGGGUAUCCUUGUCUGAUUCGAGGUCAAAAAUCAGUCACCAUAAAGGCAACAUCAGUCUUAACGCCACCAAGCUAUGAACAGUUGCUGAAAUAUAUGUAAAUACCACUUCAUUAACCUAGCAUUAGCUUGCGGUCGUGCAGCAAGUUUUAAGGCGGGAGCAGCCAUUACAGCCAGUCCUCCACAACCCAU
rnacentral:misc_RNA from 1 species